GCUCUCACGGGGGUGCCAGCAGGCUCAGAAGCAAUGAGCGCUUCCAUCAAUACAGAUGGAAGCGCUCAUUGCUUAAGUGCUGACACCCACAUACUGUGGUGGGGCAGGGAGCGGAGCGAAAAGCUCCCUGCCCC